AACAAAUCAAUUUUCACAUUUUACCUAUAAUGUUUGACUCUUCGUCUUAUUAAAAAAAAUUUACAAUUAAUAUUUUUGUUUCUAUUAGAUGAUAAAUCAUAAAUAGUACUUAACGUGUGACUAAUUUUUUUUCAUUUUCUUAAAAUAAAUUCAAAUAAUACGGUUGGUCAAACACCGGAUAUGGAAACCGAAGAGUUGGCUUAUG
rnacentral:pre_miRNA from 1 species